rnacentral:lncRNA from 1 species
GAAAAUGGAGUUUCGAAGCUCACAACAAAUCUGACGGGUUGACAGAAAAAUAAUCACCAGUCAUUCAUCAUACCUGAGUUUCUUGAGUUAUACAGCUCCGAGGGAUCUCAAAUUUGGAUAUGUUGUAGUUCACAAGCUGAGGAACAACGUCAAUGAAGAAAGCAUGCUGAUAUGAGCAAGAGAAAAUAGAGUUUCAAAGCUCACAACAAAUCUGACGGGUUGACAGACAAAUGAUAAACAGUCACUAAUCAUACCUGGAUUUCUGGAGUUGUACUGCUCCGAUGGCUCUCCAAUUUGGAUAUGUUGUAGUU